AAUUAAGGAUGUACACCUCUGAGAAGCUAAAAAUUUCUAGAAUUAAACUUUUUUUCUUAACCUGAUUUUUGGGUUAUUAAGACUGUAACAAAAUAAUUGGUGAAGAAAAAAUAAUAUGGUGGUGCACUUCUUUUUUUUGCUACGGACCUUUGAAAAUGCCCAAUUUUGAUGAUUUUCCCAUUUUUCAUUGAUUUUUACCUAUUUUUGGGCUAUUAUCGUGAACAAAAUCACAGUUCCACAAUUAAACUUUUUUUCUUACUUUCUAUAAAAAUGAAGAAGACCAAUCUGAAUAAAUAUUACUUACAAAAACUAUAGGUAGGUGUUAAUAUAAGAAAGUUUUAUCAUAUUUUGACACUUUUUUGUGUAAAAUUUACCAUGCUCUCAAUUUUGUAUUUUUGUGAUUUUUCUCAGUUUUAAGAACAAAAUGCAUAUUAUUUCAAUGUUUUUGUUAUAAAUGAUUGAAAAAAUACAUAUCUAAGAAAUUUGAAAAGAC
rnacentral:lncRNA from 1 species